ensembl:snoRNA
CUCCAUGUAUCUUUGGGACCUGUCGGCUGUGGCAGUCUCCCUUCCUAGCCAUGGAAGAGCAUAUUCUUGUUUAUUGGCAAAGCUGUCACCAUUUAAUUGGUAUCAGAUUCUGACUUGCACAAGUAACAUUC